rnacentral:lncRNA from 1 species
UGUGUGGCGGCUAGAGAGGCCGCUGACCAAUGGCGAGGCGGCGGGAGCCGGUUUACCUGCUACUUUCCUGCCACCAAUCAUUUGGCGCACAGGAGCGCACGCCCCGAGGAGAGGACCAAUCCGCGCGCGCUCCCUGGGUUCCUCGCCCCUGCCCUCUCCCUUUCCCCUCAGGUCUCCCACUAGCCGCGGCCACUGCGGUGCCCAAGCCGCGCUCCUCGGGGUCGCCCGGGAUGUCCCUCUUCUCUGGGUCCCCUGCCGGCUGGCGUUUGGCCGCCCGCCCUCACCCCUCCUCCUUCUUCUUCUCCCCUCCGGGCAUUCCGACGAAAAGCAGCAGUUCCUGACUCCCUCUCUCCCUCCGGCUCCAUCUAGGAAACCAAUUUUAGGAACGUUGAGUGCCAGACCCUUCCUAAAAUCCCUGGUUUGCCAAAGUCUCAACGAGAGAACGGAUACUUAGUAUUUCUAGAAGGCAUUUCCACCCCGAGGACUGCAAGUGUUCUCACGUUCUUUGCGUUCAUCAUGACCUCCAAGUGUCCCACUGGAGCUGUCAUUCCCGUAGUUCCAAAGAGAAUACUCGAGCGCGGAGCGAUUCCAUUGCAUUUCCUUCCAGUAGCCAGGUUUUGACCACUUACUGAAGAGUAGACACCAGCCCCGCGGCAGCGCUCUCUGCUGCAAAAAGCUGUCUACGGAGCAAGACGGAAGGAAACAGUUACAGAAAAUAAAAAUUUGAUAACGACAUGCGACUCGGUUGCUGAGAGGACAGAGAAAGUGACUUAUUUUUGCAUCUCAGGCACUUUGUAGAGGGCCUUUAGCACAAAGAACUCCCGGCUCUUCCAGAUGUUAAACUCCCUGAAUAGAAGGACAGCGUCUUCUUUUUCGUUAUCCAUCAUGUCAGCUCUCCUUUAGCGCCUGCUGGGGUAGGGUGGAGUGGUGGGGGCGGGGCUGGCACCCAACAAGUGCACCAUAAAUAUCUGUUGGCUGGAUACAUGAACAAAUGGAAUUAAAUAAAUUGGCCUAAUUCUGUUACCCAGACUGGCCCCCGUGACUCUAGACUUCUAGCCUGGUAAGUUCCUUGAACACAGACACUGCGUUUUUUAAUCUCUGUAACACCAUUGCCCAUCCCCAGCUCAUUGACAGGCACGGAGUGCCCAAUAUGUGCUUGUGGUCUGAAUGCUGACUGUUUUCGAGGUCAAGCAAUUCCGUCGGUAGCUUGCUAUUUUUCCGAAGUUUACACGCAGGUGGAAUCUUAUUGCUCCUUUGUCUCUGCCCCCAUUUCAUGAGGAGAUCACUCUAGGUAAGUGGGACUUAAGCGAAGCACUUGACAAGAUAUCAUAGACAAGAUGAAGAAAUAUGGGCUGGAUGCUAGUAUCAUUAAUUGGACUAAUAACUGGUUAAGUAACCAUAACCUAAAGAUGCUGAUUGAUGAGUCGACGUUGACCGAAAAGAAGAUUGCAGGGAGUCAGCAUUCCAGCAGCACCUACUACGUACCAGACACUGUGCUAAGUACUUUCCCCUCAUGUUCUCCCUUAAUCUUUAUAACCACACUGUGAGGAAGCUUUUAUUGCCCCAUUUUACAGAUGGGGAAACUGAAACUCAGAAUUUAGCUAGCUGGCCAAAGGUCACACAGUAGGUGGCAGAGCCGUGAUUCAAACUAGACUUUUUCUUUUUAUUUCAAAGCCUCUAUACCACACCAGUUACCCUCAGAAUGACAGAAGCCUCUCUCCCAGGUCCAGACAUCAGAACUUUUAUCAGUGUUCUGAAGGAAAAUCCAGAAGAUUCGCAUCACAUGUCCAGAUGACACAAAGCCAGGAGGGGAAGAGACGCUGUUACACAAACCACAUACAAUAUUGGAGCAGUGGGCUGACUCUAACAGGGAGACAGAGUCUUGCUAUGCUGCCCAGGCUGGACUCGAACUUCUAGACUCGAGCAAUUCUCAUGCCUCAGCCUCCCAAGUGGCUGAGACUAUAGGCAUGCCACCACACCCAGCUCUUUUGAUGUAAUUUUUAUCCCAUCAAAGUUUUGUCAUCUUGCUUUUAAAAAAUUAUCACAUGCAUUCUCUCUUGUUAUUGAGCCUCCUUCUACAACUGGCUGUCUAAUGGCUGCAGCAUUUUUAUUGUAUGGAGAAACUAUACCUCAUGCAAAACUCUCUCAUUGAAAGCGUUCACAUAGUUCCUAAUGUUUCUUUAUUAUACAGAUGGCCCUGGGCUCACAGUGGUUUGAGUUACGAUUUUUCUAGUUUAUGAUUGGCAUAUUGGGAUAUUAAAUGUAUUUUCAACUUUCAAUAUUUUUGACUUGCCAUGGGUUUUUCGGGACAUAACCCCAUCGUAAGUUGAGGCUCAUCUGUAAACAGUUUUGAAAAGAACAUCCUUUGGGAUUUUUAAACCUCAGGGCCCUCUGGAAGCUGUAGGCUAAUGGGACUGGCCCACAGCUUUCCUACUCUACUUCAUUACCACACUGGGUUUCAAAGAAUCAGCUGGUAUAGACAGGAAAUACAACUUACAUAUUUUUUUCUUAUAAGGUUUCAAUGUUAUCUCCUCCUGCUGCUGCUUCUCUCUCUGCCAUAAAACUUAUUUUAAAGACAUGGAAAAUUAUAUGCACUUGAGUUAAAUACAAAACCACAAGUGACUAUAGCUUGAUAAGUGGUCUUUGGGAAAUUUAUGAGCCAAAAUCUGUGUCAUAAAUUGAUAGCACUCCAGCUAACAAAAGAUUGACAAUAAAACUUACUGUAAAUAAAACCAUCUAAAUCUUGAGUAUGAAUAAA